rnacentral:tRNA from 1 species
GAAGGUAUAGCUCAGUGGUAGAGUGCUUGCCUAGCAUGUACAAGGUCCUGGGUUCAAUCCCCAGUACCUUCA